AGACGUGGCAAGCGUUGUUCGGAAUUACUGGGCGUAAAGGGCGCGUAGGCGGUCUUGUCAGUCCCUUGUGAAAUCCCCCGGCUCAACUGGGGAACUGCACGGGAAACAGCAGGGCUUGAGUUCGGGAGAGGGAAGCGGAAUUCCGGGUGUAGCGGUGAAAUGCGUAGAUAUCCGGAGGAACACCGGUGGCGAAGGCGGCUUCCUGGACCGAUACUGACGCUGAGGCGCGAAAGCUAGGGGAGCAAACGGGAUUAGAUACCCCGGUAGUCCUAGCUGUAAACGAUGAGUGCUGGGUGUAGAGGGUAUUAACCCCUUCUGUGCCGAAGCUAACGCAUUAAGCACUCCGCCUGGGGAGUACGGUCGCAAGGCUG
rnacentral:rRNA from 1 species